rnacentral:rRNA from 1 species
GACGAGCGGCGGACGGGUGAGUAAUACUUAGGAAUCUACCUAGUAGUGGGGGAUAGCUCGGGGAAACUCGAAUUAAUACCGCAUACGACCUACGGGAGAAAGGGGGCAACUUGUUGCUCUCGCUAUUAGAUGAGCCUAAGUCGGAUUAGCUAGAUGGUGGGGUAAAGGCCUACCAUGGCGACGAUCUGUAGCUGGUCUGAGAGGAUGAUCAGCCACACCGGGACUGAGACACGGCCCGGACUCCUACGGGAGGCAGCAGUGGGGAAUAUUGGACAAUGGGGGAAACCCUGAUCCAGCCAUGCCGCGUGUGUGAAGAAGGCCUUUUGGUUGUAAAGCACUUUAAGCAGUGAAGAAGACUCCAUGGUUAAUACCCAUGGACGAUGACAUUAGCUGCAGAAUAAGCACCGGCUAACUCUGUGCCAGCAGCCGCGGUAAUACAGAGGGUGCAAGCGUUAAUCGGAAUUACUGGGCGUAAAGGGAGCGUAGGUGGCUCGAUAAGUCAGAUGUGAAAUCCCCGGGCUCAACCUGGGAACUGCAUCUGAUACUGUUGAGCUAGAGUAUGUGAGAGGAAGGUAGAAUUCCAGGUGUAGCGGUGAAAUGCGUAGAGAUCUGGAGGAAUACCGAUGGCGAAGGCAGCCUUCUGGCAUAAUACUGACACUGAGGCUCGAAAGCGUGGGUAGCAAACAGGAUUAGAUACCCUGGUAGUCCACGCCGUAAACGAUGUCUACUAGUCGUUGGGUCCCUUGAGGACUUAGUGACGCAGCUAACGCAAUAAGUAGACCGCCUGGGGAGUACGGCCGCAAGGUUAAAACUCAAAUGAAUUGACGGGGGCCCGCACAAGCGGUGGAGCAUGUGGUUUAAUUCGAUGCAACGCGAAGAACCUUACCUGGUCUUGACAUAUCUAGAAUCCUGCAGAGAUGCGGGAGUGCCUUCGGGAAUUAGAAUACAGGUGCUGCAUGGCUGUCGUCAGCUCGUGUCGUGAGAUGUUGGGUUAAGUCCCGCAACGAGCGCAACCCUUGUCCUUAGUUACCAGCGGGUUAAGCCGGGAACUCUAAGGAUACUGCCAGUGACAAACUGGAGGAAGGCGGGGACGACGUCAAGUCAUCAUGGCCCUUACGACCAGGGCUACACACGUGCUACAAUGGUAGGUACAGAGGGCAGCUACACAGCGAUGUGAUGCGAAUCUCAAAAAGCCUAUCGUAGUCCGGAUUGGAGUCUGCAAC